UGCUGGUUGUUGAUACCCAUAUUAUAUAGUUUACUUAAACCAUCCUUGAGUUGAACUAUUUUCUUUUGUGUGUCAAAAUAAACCAACCGACCGAUCAUGUGAAGUCGCAUGGUUUUAUAUUACGCUAAAGAUUACAUAGUUUCUAUGUUUAUUGAAGUUGUAACCGUCGAACAAACUGGAUUUGCAUUUUAGUUUGAUAGUGGUAGUGUUAUAUGUUACUUUUUAACAGACUAUGUACCCAAUCUAGAUUGGCUGGGUUUGUUUUGCUCAUUAAUGUAACCAAUCAGUAUUAAGAGAGACCUAAAUAUUCAAGUUAAAUCAAAGGUUAAGAAUAUUACUGCUGGUGUGUUUUGUAAUAAAGCUUUCAGUAAAAUGGCAACUUUUUCAGAAUCAACCAUAAACAAAGGAUCUGACGUUUUCCAAGACUUCCUGUGCUCGACCUGUGAAUACAAAAAAAUGGCUGAAUUCUACUGCGGAUCCUGCGUGAAGUUUUAUUGCGGAAAUUGUAUUUUCAUUCAUAGCCAGUUGUUUAUAAAACAUGCCCCCGUUGGAAGAGGUGAUAUGAAGAAAUGGCCAGUGGCCAAGAAGGUAGAAGAUAUUCUUCUGAAAUGUGAUGUCCAUAAAGAAGAAAAUCUUAAAAUGUUUUGUAAUGACCACCGCGAGCUGUGCUGCUCAUAUUGUGUACUCCUUUUUCACAGAAAGUGCGAUAAUGUAACUUUAAUAUCUCAAGUAAAAAGUCAGUCCGCAGACCUAUCAGUGUCUAUCCAAAUAAUUCUGGAAGAAAUGAAGAAACUUCAAGACAAACAGGAGGCUAGAUUUUGGUCUGUGCAAAGUUCAUAUGAUGAGCAGUUAAACAUGAUACAGGAAACUCGCAAUAAAAUAGAUGCAGCCUUAAACAUGAUUGAACGGAACACACGGACGGAAAUGAAAGAUAUUCACACCAAACUGCAAGCCUCUUAUAAAAGUGAUGUUGACGAGUGCAUCAGGCUUCGAGAUGGAUUGAAACAACUUAGAGACGCCAUACAAGACAUAAGUGAUAAAAACAAUAGGGAACUAUCUUUUAUAGCAACCAGGAAAUGUGAGAAGAAAAUACAACAGUCUGAAACCUUUCUGGAGAAGAUCUCUCUUCAGGUUAAAAAUUUAAGAUAUUCAAUAAUUCCCAAACCAAAAUCGCAUGAUUUUUUAACAUGCUUGCUGCAAGCCUGUCGCAAGCUUGAGGCACGCUUGUCGUAAUCUUAGAAUAGGAAUCUUGCAGCAAGCUCGCGCAAGCUUGCGGAUGAUUCUAUUUUGCAAGAUUAGAAUUGGAACCUCGCAGCAAGCUUGCAUUUCACGAAGCUUGCGCAAGCUUAGAAUUGGAGCCUUGCAGCAAGCUUGCGCGAGCUUACUGUUUCCAUAGAGUAUUAGUGUCAAAUUUGUUAAUAACCUUCCAAUCUGAAAAAAGUUAUUAUAGUAUAUACAUAUCUACAUAAAAAGUACAUUUCAAUGAGUAAGCUCUUCUAGCCGUAGCACAUUUGCUAUUUAUAUUGUCAUUAAACGAUGGAGCAGAUAGGCAGGGUUCACCUUUGUCUUUUUUGAAAGUAUUCAAUACAAAAUAUUCAAUGCCAGUGUGGCAACACUGGUCAAAUAUGUUGUUGAUGUUGUGGCAUUAUGGCCCUUCCUUGAACCUUUGGCGCUUGAUUUAGCGAGUUGUUCCCUGCUGAAAAGGCAGCCAUCAGUGCAAUGGUCAACUUUCUCGGAUUGGCUCUAGUAUGCCCUAUUUGGGAAAGUUGUCCUUGAGUGGCAUACACUUAGUACUCUAGAUGGAGGCGAACCGUUAUAACACCAGAGCUCUGAAAAAAAAAAUAAUACCACUGAAAUAACAAUAAUUUCUAAAUAACGCGUAACAUCAAAUCAAUGUGCUACAGAAAACAACAAAAUAAAAAAGAAAGUCAGAUUUGAAAUGGUAUUUUAACAUAUAAGAUCAAUUUCAUACGACGAUUUUCAGUUAACGGUUUUUUAAAAUAUUAUGUGCUGCUUGUUGUUUUACGUUACACAUUCCUUCCAAUGAUUAGUCCCUUGCAGACUUUGAUCACAGUGGUUCAACUGCAAGCCACUGCAGGGUGGAGACUCCAUGUUUAUAACUUAUUGGCUUCCACUAAACCAUAUGUAAGCCGUACUGAUGUUGGUUUCUACAAUGUCUGCUUGUGUGCUGUCUCAGCUGUUGCAGUCUGCCUUUAUGUUUAAAAAAAAUAAAUAAUAUAAAAUAAGCUGAACAAUCAUUUCGGAUAUAAUAAAAAUGUAACAAACAUUAAGCAUAAAUAAGAGAGAUUCUGAAUAAAUGUUUUGGUACAAUUAAAUUUUCUCAAAUUUAUACUUCUGGGUGCAGAAGAUUACACUGCAGGAAUUUGCCGCAACUAAACCUAUGGAAAUAAAAAACAUGUAACACCAGCAAUAGUUUCAGGGUGCAGCAAAAUGAUUAUGGUGCAAACAUUGGCUAGAUUGAAACAGCAAGUAGCAAGACAAUCCACAUUCUAACAUGUUCAUCAUAUAUUUAUAUUAAUUAUUAUUGUCCUGAUUUGUUACAAUAACAAAAAUCGUCAAAAGUGUAUAUACCAAGACAGUAGCAGUAUUUCAUGAAAAACAUAAGAAAAGUUUAUCAGUAUUAUAAUAUUCGUAAGGGACAACUGAAAUAAAGAUAACUGUUUGACCAAACUAAAUAUUUUUUUCUGGCCCGGACAACAGGACAUAUGCAUUGAUUGUUGUUAUUGAAAAGUAAGGAUAUUAUUACUGAACAUAUUAUAUCAGUCCUUUCUCCCCGUCCUAUGAUGUAGCCUGAAAUGUUUUUUAUGACCCCGAAGGAGGGCAUGUAGUGAUCAGAUCGUCCGUCCGUCUGUCUGUCAUUCCGUUACACUUUGCGUUUAGGUUUCGCGUUUAGGUUUCGAAAAAUGCUCAUAACUUCUUUGUCGCUUCAGAUAGCAACUUUAUAUUUGGCAUGCAUGUGCAUCUCAUAGAGCUGCACAUUUUGAGUGGUGAAAGGUCAAAGUCAUUUUUCAAGGUCAAAGGUCAAAUAUAUGGCUUCAAAGCGGCGCAGAAGGGUGCAUUGUGUUUCUGACAAACACAUCUCUUGUUAAGUAUCCUUUCUCCCCAGUAUCUUAUGAUGCACUUUAAAUUUAAAUUUCUAAAAGUUUUAACUAUAUUUUUAAAAGCAAAAUUUGUAUUUUCAUCUGCAUUCGUUUGGAAUAGUGUUUUUUAUUCACUUAAUUUCCAUACAACAUAAACUUUCUAUCAUCCUUUUACAUAUCCCACUGGUACACAGUACAUAUUUAUAAUUCAAAUUAUAUUAUUAAAUAAUCUAGAUUAAAACAGUCUGUAGAAAUAAAAAUACAAACCUUUUAUGCUGUUCUGCAUGAUGUACAUAUCACGAGGAUAUCCGUGUUGGACUGUUUGUCUAUAAAAAUAAAUAUAAAAACAUAUUGAUUUUAUUUUCUCUUUAGUUUAUGUAUGGAUUGUUACCUAUAAUUAACUAUGUAAUGAAUUGUCAGUUCCUAUUUCUGUGAUUCACUGUUGUUCAUAUGACUGUGUGUCUAUGAUUCGUAUUAACCGUAACCACGCGAUGACCCAUAUUUUAUCAAUUGAUGUUAUGUCUCAUGAGAUUUUCUGGUGUCUAGUAUCGGUUUUUCACUUGACAAAAAUGAAAAUCAGAAUGACGAUAAGCAUGACCCACUUCUGAUGCGACUAGUGUAUUACAUGUUUUAUAUAGCUUUGGAUUUCGUGUUUGUUUUGUAUCGUGUUUUUAAUAUGUGUUUCUAUUAUGUGGUGUUUUGUAUAGGUAACUGGAUUGGUUUGUGUUAAAAAUAUGUGUUUGUAUUUAUGUGUGUGUGAGCAAUUGUUUGUGUGGUGUUGUUUUUGUAAUAUGUGUUUGCAUUGUUUUGUAUUCAUAAAUGAUAACUUACAACUGAUUAUAAUGUGUUUUUAUUGUAUUGUGUUUGUAGUAUGUAUUGGUAUUGUGUUGUGCUUUAUAAAUGUGUCUCAUAUUUUGUGAUUCAAUUGUGUUGACUUGUAUUUAAUUGUUGUAUUUUUGCCCUUAAUAUAAUAUGUAUUGAAGUGUGUUUGUUACAAUGUAAAUUUAUAGCGUUAUGUUGUUGUUUAUAUUCGACAAUGUUUAAUUAUAUGUGCAUAAAGAACAUUGCACUUUAAAAACGCUUAGUCUUCAAAUGAUGCAAUUUGAUUCUGUCCUGGAUUAUAUCCCGCAAGCACUGAGAUAUGUACAAAAUUACAAGUUUGCAGAACAGCGAGUGCUGUAUUUAAAUAAUUAAACAUUAUUUUGCAACGAAUGAUACGUAAUGUUUUAGUUUACUUUAUGUAUUGUAAGACCUCGCUAAUUAUAUAAUGUUUGCAAGGCACUAAUGUGUUACAUAUACAAUAUAUUUACUAAUAAAUAUGAUUCAAUUACAUUGUCUAGUAAAAUACUAGAACCAGCACACAUAUGUAAUCCUGUCGAAAAAAAAAGCUACAUAGUAUUAUGUGAACUUUGUCAGACGUUUGUUUUUGUUUUAUAUAGAAAAUAUAGGGAAUGUCACCGGUUUACUUUAAAAGACUAUAAUUUUAGCCUCAAAAGAUACAAAGAAGCAUUCAUUUGACAGAUGAAAUUUAAAUAAACGUGUUAUUAUUUCUACAAUGUGUUUGGAAUGUAUUGUAGACAAUUAUUAAGUGAAGAGUAGAACUUAGAAUUAAUAUGUUUCGUGUAUUUAUAUUAUGUAUAUGUGUCUACGUUUCUUUAUAUUGCUGUAUAUAAUUAUUCCUCAUCAAUUGUUUACUACAAAUAGAGAAAGUUUGAAAACUGUUUAAAGUUUCAUCCAGCUAUGUUGCAAUACAAGCUGUAAGUUUCCCAAAGGAAAGUAGAUAAUGAUUAUGUCUUUAAAAACAGUUUAGACAAUUAGUCUGGCAUCGUAAAUCAAGCACGAGACUAGAAGCACUAGAUAAUACUUCCAAAACAUGUUUACACUACUCCAAAACGACAUAUGUCGAUACAUUUUGUUUAACUAUAUUUGUUAAGCUCUUUUUGAGUUUAGUUUAUAAAUGUAUGUGUGUGUUAAUUACUUCUAUGAGUGUGUGAAUAAAAACUCUUUAAAAUGA